rnacentral:misc_RNA from 1 species
UCUCCGUAGGUGAACCUGCGGAGGGAUCAUUACAGAGUUCUCGCCCUCACGGGUAGAUCUCCCACCCACUGUUAUCGUUACUGUCGUUUCUUUGGCGGGCCGCCGGGUCUCCGGCCGCCGCCUCCUAGCUGCCGGCGCGCGCCCGCCAGAGGCCUUCAAACUCUGUAUGUUAGUGUCGUCUGAGUACUAUAUAAUAGUUAAAACUUUCAACAACGGAUCUCUUGGUUCUG